UACGGAGGGUGCAAGCGUUAUCCGGAUUUACUGGGUUUAAAGGGUGCGCAGGCGGAUAUGUAAGUCAGUGGUGAAAUCUCCGGGCUUAACCCGGAACUGCCGUUGAUACUAUAAUAUCUUGAAUGCUGUGGAGGUAAGCAGAAUAUGUCAUGUAGCGGUGAAAUGCUUAGAGAUGACAUAGAAUCCUAUUGCGAAGGCAGCUUACUACGCAGAUAUUGACGCUCAUGCACAAAGCGUGGGGAUCAAACAGG
rnacentral:rRNA from 1 species